rnacentral:lncRNA from 1 species
GCAUUUUGGUUGUAGUCCUAGAUGGUAAGAGUAACUUGGAGAUCAUUAGUUAUAGUAUUGUGGCUGUUUUCUUCUUCUGUAGUUGGAGGGGCCUAUUUGUUUCCCCUAGAUCUGUGAUGAUAAGAUCGACGUCAAGUCUUGCAGCCGCAUUUUGGUUGUAGUCCUAGAUGGUAAGAGUAAUUUGGAGAGCAUUAGUUAUGGUAUUGUAGCUGUUUGGCAGUUUAUUCAUCACAUAUUCAGUAGUCUCUUGAAUAAGCAAGGUUGAGUCGGAGUGGUGAAUGUGAUG